rnacentral:rRNA from 1 species
UACGUAGGGUGCAAGCGUUAAUCGGAAUUACUGGGCGUAAAGCGUGCGCAGGCGGUUAUGUAAGACAGUUGUGAAAUCCCCGGGCUCAACCUGGGGAAUUGCAUCUGUGACUGCAUAGCUAGAGUACGGUAGAGGGGGAUGGAAUUCCGCGUGUAGCAGUGAAAUGCGUAGAUAUGACGGAGGAACACCGAUGGCGAAGGCAAUCCCCCUGGACCUGUACUGACGCUCAUGCACGAAAGCGUGGGGAGCAAACAGG